UACAGAGGGUGCGAGCGUUAAUCGGAAUUACUGGGCGUAAAGCGUGCGCAGGCGGUUCGCCAAGUCAGGUGUGAAAUCCCCGGGCUUAACCUGGGAAUUGCGCUUGAAACUAGCGAGCUUGAGUGUGGCAGAGGGGGGUGGAAUUCCACGUGUAGCAGUGAAAUGCGUAGAGAUGUGGAGGAACACCGAUGGCGAAGGCAGCCCCCUGGGUCAACACUGACGCUCAUGCACGAAAGCGUGGGGAGCAAACAGG
rnacentral:rRNA from 1 species